rnacentral:sRNA from 1 species
AAAAAAAAACGAAAACAAAUUUUUUCUUCUUCUUUUUGUA